GAAAGAUCGGCGCCCGGCGACGGAGCCUCGGUGCGGACACCCGCUCUUAGCUUCGCGGACCGGGCACGAGGAU
rnacentral:sRNA from 1 species